CAUUAGACGAAUCAUCUGGAAAGAUGAAUCAAAGAAGGUAAUAAUCCUGUAGUCGAAAAUGUUGUCUCUCUUGAGUGGAUCCUGAGUACGACGGAGCACGUGAAAUUCCGUCGGAAUCUGGGAGGACCAUCUCCUAAGGCUAAAUACUCUCUAGUGACCGAUAGUGAACCAGUACCGUGAGGGAAAGGUGAAAAGCACCCCGGAAGGGGAGUGAAAUAGAACCUGAAACCGUGUGCUUACAAGUAGUCAGAGCCCGUUAAUGGGUGAUGGCGUGCCUUUUGUAGAAUGAACCGGCGAGUUACGAUUUGAUGCAAGGUUAAGCAGUAAAUGUGGAGCCGUAGCGAAAGCGAGUCUGAAUAGGGCGUUUAGUAUUUGGUCGUAGACCCGAAACCAGGUGAUCUACCCUUGGUCAGGUUGAAGUUCAGGUAACACUGAAUGGAGGACCGAACCGACUUACGUUGAAAAGUGAGCGGAUGAACUGAGGGUAGCGGAGAAAUUCCAAUCGAACCUGGAGAUAGCUGGUUCUCUCCGAAAUAGCUUUAGGGCUAGCCUCAAGUGAUGAUUAUUGGAGGUAGAGCACUGUUUGGACGAGGGGCCCCUCUCGGGUUACCGAAUUCAGACAAACUCCGAAUGCCAAUUAAUUUAACUUGGGAGUCAGAACAUGGGUGAUAAGGUCCGUGUUCGAAAGGGAAACAGCCCAGACCACCAGCUAAGGUCCCAAAAUAUAUGUUAAGUGGAAAAGGAUGUGGCGUUGCCCAGACAACUAGGAUGUUGGCUUAGAAGCAGCCAUCAUUUAAAGAGUGCGUAAUAGCUCACUAGUCGAGUGACACUGCGCCGAAAAUGUACCGGGGCUAAACAUAUUACCGAAGCUGUGGAUUGUCCUUUGGACAAUGGUAGGAGAGCGUUCUAAGGGCGUUGAAGCAUGAUCGUAAGGACAUGUGGAGCGCUUAGAAGUGAGAAUGCCGGUGUGAGUAGCGAAAGACGGGUGAGAAUCCCGUCCACCGAUUGACUAAGGUUUCCAGAGGAAGGCUCGUCCGCUCUGGGUUAGUCGGGUCCUAAGCUGAGGCCGACAGGCGUAGGCGAUGGAUAACAGGUUGAUAUUCCUGUACCACCUAUAAUCGUUUUAAUCGAUGGGGGGACGCAGUAGGAUAGGCGAAGCGUGCGAUUGGAUUGCACGUCUAAGCAGUAAGGCUGAGUAUUAGGCAAAUCCGGUACUCGUUAAGGCUGAGCUGUGAUGGGGAGAAGACAUUGUGUCUUCGAGUCGUUGAUUUCACACUGCCGAGAAAAGCCUCUAGAUAGAAAAUAGGUGCCCGUACCGCAAACCGACACAGGUAGUCAAGAUGAGAAUUCUAAGGUGAGCGAGCGAACUCUCGUUAAGGAACUCGGCAAAAUGACCCCGUAACUUCGGGAGAAGGGGUGCUCUUUAGGGUUAACGCCCAGAAGAGCCGCAGUGAAUAGGCCCAAGCGACUGUUUAUCAAAAACACAGGUCUCUGCUAAACCGUAAGGUGAUGUAUAGGGGCUGACGCCUGCCCGGUGCUGGAAGGUUAAGAGGAGUGGUUAGCUUCUGCGAAGCUACGAAUCGAAGCCCCAGUAAACGGCGGCCGUAACUAUAACGGUCCUAAGGUAGCGAAAUUCCUUGUCGGGUAAGUUCCGACCCGCACGAAAGGCGUAACGAUUUGGGCACUGUCUCAACGAGAGACUCGGUGAAAUCAUAGUACCUGUGAAGAUGCAGGUUACCCGCGACAGGACGGAAAGACCCCGUGGAGCUUUACUGUAGCCUGAUAUUGAAAUUCGGCACAGCUUGUACAGGAUAGGUAGGAGCCUUUGAAACGUGAGCGCUAGCUUACGUGGAGGCGCUGGUGGGAUACUACCCUAGCUGUGUUGGCUUUCUAACCCGCACCACUUAUCGUGGUGGGAGACAGUGUCAGGCGGGCAGUUUGACUGGGGCGGUCGCCUCCUAAAAGGUAACGGAGGCGCUCAAAGGUUCCCUCAGAAUGGUUGGAAAUCAUUCAUAGAGUGUAAAGGCAUAAGGGAGCUUGACUGCGAGACCUACAAGUCGAGCAGGGUCGAAAGACGGACUUAGUGAUCCGGUGGUUCCGCAUGGAAGGGCCAUCGCUCAACGGAUAAAAGCUACCCCGGGGAUAACAGGCUUAUCUCCCCCAAGAGUUCACAUCGACGGGGAGGUUUGGCACCUCGAUGUCGGCUCAUCGCAUCCUGGGGCUGUAGUCGGUCCCAAGGGUUGGGCUGUUCGCCCAUUAAAGCGGUACGCGAGCUGGGUUCAGAACGUCGUGAGACAGUUCGGUCCCUAUCCGUCGUGGGCGUAGGAAAUUUGAGAGGAGCUGUCCUUAGUACGAGAGGACCGGGAUGGACAUACCUCUGGUGUACCAGUUGUCGUGCCAACGGCAUAGCUGGGUAGCUAUGUGUGGACGGGAUAAGUGCUGAAAGCAUCUAAGCAUGAAGCCCCCCUCAAGAUGAGAUUUCCCAACUUCGGUUAUAAGAUCCCUCAAAGAUGAUGAGGUUAAUAGGUUCGAGGUGGAAGCAUGGUGACAUGUGGAGCUGACGAAUACUAAUCGAUCGAAGACUUAAUCAA
rnacentral:rRNA from 27 species